GUGCGUGCGUGUGUGUGUCCAUAAACAAACAAGCAAAAAUAACAUUUCAACAAACUGACACAAAUAAAUUGCCGUCACCACAAGCAGCAGCAAGAAUGAGAUGGAAAUUUGACAAACACUCUGGAUUCUUCCGCAGUGGAUGGAGAUGUCAUGGGCCUUCCUCUUUAACAGGAGCAUUGGGAGGCUUUUCUCCCCCAUGCACAGAAUCUGUUUGCCUGACAGUUAUCAUGACAGAUUUGUUCUGAUUGGUGUUAGACAUAAGUAGUUAAUAGGAGAGUAAGCCAAGAUGAUUAAUAUUCGUAUUUCCAUUCUAAUUAUAGAAAGACAAUUCGACUUAACUAUUAUGAGUCAGACCAAGUCUUUGUGAAUCAAGUAAAAGACAAAAAAACAUUUUGAGUGUUUUCCAUCCAAUUCUGUGACUGGUAUUGUGUUUAAGGCUGAUGUAUUAACCUUCUCUGUUUGCAGACAGCUAAGUUAAUUUUUACUUUUUCGAGUGACUAGAUUCAAAUAUUACAUUUCAGUCAUAUCGUGUUUUUAGUCUCUUUCUGCAACCUGUUUGCCUGUGUUUUAAUGCAAAACUCGACGUUGUGGUCCCCAGUAAUGAUUUUUUUUUUUUGCCAAAUAUGAGCAUAUUAUGCCCUCUAGUGGUUACUUGCGGUAACUUAGGGUCUCAAGAAUUGAUGUGAUUUUCUUACUGAAAUCCCAAAUCCUUUAUGAAAUUAGUACCGCCUCUCUUAAUAAACGAAAAUCCAUACAUGAAUGUUCUUUCAAGCAGAGUAAUUUUAAUGCAGUUUCAACCAACAAAAUCUGAAAUAAAAAAUGAUGCUCUCUCCUAGUGUAAUAAAACAUGCAAAGCAAUUGGCUUGAUCAGAGUAACU